UGGUAGUGUAUUGGACUACCAUGGCAGUCACGGGUAACGGAGAAUUAGGGUUCGAUUCCGGAGAGGGAGCCUGAGAAACGGCUACCACAUCUACGGAAGGCAGCAGGAGCGAAAAUUGCCCAAUCCCGACACGGGGAGGCAGUGACGAGAAAUAACAACUCUUGGUUAUUCUAAGAAGUGUAAUGAGGAUAAUUUAAAACCCUUACCGAAAGCAAUUGGAGGGCAAGUCUGGUGCCAGCAGCCGCGGUAAUUCCAGCUCCAAUAGCGUAUAUUAAAGUUGUUGCAGUUAAAAAGCUCGUAGUUGAAGUUCUGGCUGUUUGACCCUCGAGCUCUGUAGCCGAGGGCUCAACAGUCAUCCGCUUGCAAACAUAUGUUCGCCUUUAACCGGGCGGCUAUGUGAGUAAGCAUUUUACCUUGAGAAAAACAGAGUGUUCCAGGCAGGUUUGUCCGGAAUGCAUUAGCAUGGAAUAAUAGAAUAUGACUGAAGUCGAUUUAUUGGUUUGAGGCUUUAGUAAUGAUUAAUAGGAACAGUCGGGGGCAUUGGUACUUGACAGUCAGAGGUGAAAUUCUAGGAUUUGUCAAAGACUAACAAAUGCGAAAGCAUUUGCCAAGGAUGUUUUCAUUAAUCAAGAACGAAAGUUAGGGGAUCAAAGACGAUCAGA
rnacentral:rRNA from 1 species